ACGGAAGGCAGCAGUGGGGAAUAUUGCACAAUGGGCGAAAGCCUGAUGCAGCGACGCCGCGUGAGUGAUGAAGUAUUUCGGUAUGUAAAGCUCUAUCAGCAGGGAAGAAAAAUGACGGUACCUGACUAAGAAGCACCGGCUAAAUACGUGCCAGCAGCCGCGGUAAUACGUAUGGUGCAAGCGUUAUCCGGAUUUACUGGGUGUAAAGGGAGCGCAGGCGGUCGUACAAGUCUGAUGUGAAAACCCAGGGCUCAACCCUGGGAUUGCAUUGGAAACUGUAUGACUAGAGUGUCGGAGGGGUAAGUGGAAUUCCUAGUGUAGCGGUGAAAUGCGUAGAUAUUAGGAGGAACACCAGUGGCGAAGGCGGCUUACUGGACGAUAACUGACGCUGAGGCUCGAAAGCGUGGGGAGCAAACAGGAUUAGAUACCCUGGUA
rnacentral:rRNA from 1 species